ensembl:lncRNA
AAGCAGGCCUAUCACUGCCAUUGGCAGAGGAGCUAGAGAGAAGGGAAACAUCGGAUGCACAGUUGAAAGCAGUAGCAGCUUUUGUGGACAAAUGUACCAUCUUUGGAGCAUGGCUUUCUAGACUCCGGCAACUGAGAUCGUGACGGGCCUUCCUCUGUGUAACUGUGCUUCUGGGGGCGCCCGGCUGAAGGAGCUCACCGCAGUGCUUCUCUUUAAGAUGCUUCCUGCAGGCACCACAAGGGACGGAAGUGAACACAGGCAGUGAUUCGGGUCACCUCAGGACUCCAUCCCUAACUCUGCUUCGAUGUGUUAAUGAGAACCAGAAAUAAAAUUUCA